rnacentral:rRNA from 1 species
UACGUAGGGCGCAAGCGUUAUCCGGAAUUAUUGGGCGUAAGAGCUCGUAGGCGGUUUGUCGCGUCUGCCGUGAAAGUCCGGGCUCAACUCCGGAUCUGCGGUGGUACGGCAGACUAGAGUGAUGUAGGGGAGACUGGAAUUCCUGGUGUAGCGGUGGAAUGCGCAGAUAUCAGAAGAACACCAACGGCGAAGGCAGCUCGCUGGACGGUACUGACGCUGAGGCGCGAAAGCGUGGGAGCAAACAGG